AGCAGUUGUGUGUGAUUUUGUUUAACUUGUGGACAAAGACUCAUAGACAGGUACAAAAACAAAAUCCUUUUUUUCAACCCAGAACUCAUUGUUCAGUAUGAUUUUGAUACAUAUAAGAAAGAGUAUG
rnacentral:snoRNA from 1 species